UAGUCUUUUUAGGGUUCCGUAGCCAAAUGGCAAAAAACGGAACCCUUAUGGAUUCGUCAUGUCUGUCUGUCUGUCUGUCUGUCUGUCUGUCCGAGGCUUUGCUCCGUGAUCGUUAGUGCUAGAAAGCUUCAAUUUAGCAUGGAUAGAUAAAUCA